rnacentral:rRNA from 1 species
AGGUAAAGGCUUACCAAGGCGACGAUCAGUAGCUGGUCUGAGAGGACGACCAGCCACACUGGGACUGAGACACGGCCCAGACUCCUACGGGAGGCAGCAGUGGGGAAUUUUGGACAAUGGGGGAAACCCUGAUCCAGCCAUGCCGCGUGAGUGAAGGAGGCCUUCGGGUUGUAAAGCUCUUUCAGCCGGAACGAAACGGUCACGGCUAAUACCUGUGACUACUGACGGUACCGGAAGAAGAAGCACCGGCUAACUACGUGCCAGCAGCCGCGGUAAUUCGUAGGGUGCGAGCGUUAAUCGGAAUUACUGGGCGUAAAGCGUGCGCAGGCGGUUUUGUAAGUCAGAUGUGAAAUCCCCGGGCUUAACCUGGGAACUGCGUUUGAAACUACAAGGCUAGAAGGG